rnacentral:rRNA from 1 species
GGGGUCGGAGCGAAUGAUGAGGAGCUUGCUCCUCUGAUUUAGCGGCGGACGGGUGAGUAACACGUGGGUAAUCUGCCUGUAAGACGGGGAUAACUCCGGGAAACCGGGGCUAAUACCGGAUAAUAAGAGAAGAAGCAUUUCUUCUUUUUGAAAGUCGGUUUCGGCUGACACUUACAGAUGAGCCCGCGGCGCAUUAGCUAGUUGGUGAGGUAACGGCUCACCAAGGCGACGAUGCGUAGCCGACCUGAGAGGGUGAUCGGCCACACUGGGACUGAGACACGGCCCAGACUCCUACGGGAGGCAGCAGUAGGGAAUCUUCGGCAAUGGGCGAAAGCCUGACCGAGCAACGCCGCGUGAGCGAUGAAGGCCUUCGGGUCGUAAAGCUCUGUUGUUAGAGAAGAACAAGUACGAGAGUAACUGCUCGUACCUUGACGGUACCUAACCAGAAAGCCACGGCUAACUACGUGCCAGCAGCCGCGGUAAUACGUAGGUGGCAAGCGUUAUCCGGAAUUAUUGGGCGUAAAGCGCGCGCAGGCGGUCUCUUAAGUCUGAUGUGAAAGCCCACGGCUCAACCGUGGAGGGUCAUUGGAAACUGGGAGACUUGAGUGCAGGAGAGAAAAGUGGAAUUCCACGUGUAGCGGUGAAAUGCGUAGAGAUGUGGAGGAACACCAGUGGCGAAGGCGGCUUUUUGGCCUGUAACUGACGCUGAGGCGCGAAAGCGUGGGGAGCAAACAGGAUUAGAUACCCUGGUAGUCCACGCCGUAAACGAUGAGUGCUAGGUGUUGGGGGGUUCCACCCUCAGUGCUGAAGUUAACACAUUAAGCACUCCGCCUGGGGAGUACGACCGCAAGGUUGAAACUCAAAGGAAUUGACGGGGGCCCGCACAAGCAGUGGAGCAUGUGGUUUAAUUCGAAGCAACGCGAAGAACCUUACCAGGUCUUGACAUCCUUUGACCACUCU